ACCCUUACUGGUAGGAGACAUCCAUGAUCAUGAGGGUGGCUUUCCCAAGGUGAGGCUUACCCAUUGAAUCCAGGAUGUGCUGACCACAAAGAUUUCCCCAAAUGUGUGAAGCUCAGCUGUAUAACUUGUGAUAGUAGGGGAUUGCAUUUGUGCUUUACCCUG